rnacentral:rRNA from 1 species
UGACAGGGAGACAGGUGGUGCAUGGUUGUCGUCAGCUCGUGUCGUGAGAUGUUGGGUUAAGUCCCGUAACGAGCGCAACCCUUGUCCUUAGUUACCAGCACGUUAUGGUGGGCACUCUAAGGAGACUGCCGGUGACAAACCGGAGGAAGUGGGGAUGACGUCAAGUCCUCACUUGGCCUUUAUGACCAGGGCUACACACGUACUACAAUGGCCGGUACAAAGGGCAGCGACACAGCGAUGUGAAGCCAAUCCCGAAAAGCCGGUCUCAGUCCGGAUUGGAGUCUGCAACUCGACUCCAUGAAGCCGGAAUCGCUAGUAAUCGUGGAUCAGCAUGCCACGGUGAAUACGUUCCCGGGCCUU